rnacentral:rRNA from 1 species
CCCUUAGAUGUUCUGGGCUGCACGCGCGCUACACUGAUGCGCUCAACGAGUUUACGAACUUGCCCGGAAGGGUUGGUUAAUCUUUUUAAAACGCAUCGUGAUGGGGAUAGAUUAUUGCAAUUAUUAAUCUUCAACGAGGAAUUCCUAGUAAGCGCGAGUCAUCAGCUCGCACUGAUUACGUCCCUGCCCUUUGUACACACCGCCCGUCGCUCCUACCGAUUGAAUGUGUUGGUGAGGAGCUCGGAUUGGCAGCAGUUGGUGGUUCGCCACCGGCUAUUGCUGAGAAGUCCUCCAAACCGCCCCAUUUAGAGGAAGGAGAAGUCGUAACA